UACGGGGGGGGCAAGCGUUGUUCGGAAUUACUGGGCGUAAAGGGCUCGUAGGCGGCCAACUAAGUCAGACGUGAAAUCCCUCGGCUUAACCGGGGAACUGCGUCUGAUACUGGAUGGCUUGAGGUUGGGAGAGGGAUGCGGAAUUCCAGGUGUAGCGGUGAAAUGCGUAGAUAUCGGGAGGAACACCAAUGGCGAAGGCAGCUCGCUGGGACGGUACUGACGCUGAGACGCGAAAGCGUGGGGAGCAAACAGG
rnacentral:rRNA from 1 species